rnacentral:pre_miRNA from 1 species
CAAAUACUCCCUCCGUCCAGAAAUACUUGUCAUCAAAAUGGAUAAAAGGAAAUGUAUCUAGACAAAUUUUAGUUUUAGAUACAUCUCUUUUUAUCCAUUUUGAUGACAAUUAUUUUUGGACGGAGGGAGUAGAAA